rnacentral:misc_RNA from 1 species
AGUCCACUUAAGCCCUGCUUAGUGUUGGGAAUCUACUAGUUAAUCCUGUAGUUCCUUAAAGACAGCGGCGGAGUUGUGAUAUCCUCUGAGCUUAGUAAUUAUACACCUAGCUUUCGAGUAGAUCACUUCGACUGCCGUUAAACACCCUUCUUUUGAAC